GAUGGACGCUGGCGGCGUGCCUAAUACAUGCAAGUCGAGCGAACAAACGAGGAGCUUGCUCCUCUGACGUUAGCGGCGGACGGGUGAGUAACACGUGGAUAACCUACCUAUAAGACUGGGAUAACUUCGGGAAACCGGAGCUAAUACCGGAUAAUAUAUUGAACCGCAUGGUUCAAUAGUGAAAGACGGUUUUGCUGUCACUUAUAGAUGGAUCCGCGCCGCAUUAGCUAGUUGGUAAGGUAACGGCUUACCAAGGCAACGAUGCGUAGCCGACCUGAGAGGGUGAUCGGCCACACUGGAACUGAGACACGGUCCAGACUCCUACGGGAGGCAGCAGUAGGGAAUCUUCCGCAAUGGGCGAAAGCCUGACGGAGCAACGCCGCGUGAGUGAUGAAGGUCUUCGGAUCGUAAAACUCUGUUAUUAGGGAAGAACAAAUGUGUAAGUAACUAUGCACGUCUUGACGGUACCUAAUCAGAAAGCCACGGCUAACUACGUG
rnacentral:rRNA from 1 species